CUUAACCACGGCUUGUUUUGGAGCCAAAGCCCGAGCCUUGGCUUGUCCUCUAACUGUUGCAAUCUGCACUUUUGGUAGCUGAAUGUUGUUCUUCUUAACCGCUGAUGCGAACCCUGAGCUCAGUUUAUCCCAUGACAUGGCUAACCCUGGUGCACCAUUUUGAUCCUCCGAGGUUUCUUCUUCUUUUUCUUCUUUUUCAGGUUCCUGGGUCACGGAUUUGAAUCGAUCCAUGAGUUCUGUGAAUGAUUUUCGGGCUGCUGUUGUCGCCUUCUCUUGAACAUCUUCUGCUAAACUCGGUGUUGCAGUUGCAGCCUCCUCUUUU
rnacentral:lncRNA from 1 species